ACACUGUGGAUUUGCCUGACUACACCCUGUGGUGCUGUUCCUCUAUCUUGUUCUGGGAAGGAAGAGCCAAGCACCGCAUGACUCUUGUAGAAGAUGGACUUUGCAGACUGCAAAAGGGGAAAGGAAAGGGGCGUGUGAUGUUUGUAGGUGCCUUGGUAGAAAGUCCCUCUUUGCCUAGAAAUUAUUUAGGCAUCCUUUUAUAAUGCUUCUGGAAGAACAGAAAGAAAAAUCUAUUUCCUGAAUGAGAUAAGGAUGCUUUUCAUUGAGUGUCAGUAUUGAACCAGCCCCAACUGAAAUGAGAAUUGUACUUGGAUGUCACUGU
rnacentral:lncRNA from 10 species